CGCAUCUGUGCAUGCAGCAUAUCAAUAAGCGGAGGAAAAGAAACUAACAAGGAUUCCCCUAGUAACGGCGAGUGAAGCGGGAAGAGCUCAAAUUUGAAAUCUUAAAGGGUUUCCCUUUACGAAUUGUAGUUUAAAGAAGUGUUUUCUGUUGAGGUUUUGGUAAAAGUUCUUUGGAAUAGGACAUCAUAGAGGGUGAGAAUCCCGUAUUUGACCUUUACUUUCAACUUUGUGAUACACUUUCAAAGAGUCGGAUUGUUUGGGAAUGCAGUCCAAAAUGGGUGGUAAAUUUCAUCUAAAGCUAAAUAUUGGCGAGAGACCGAUAGCGAACAAGUACCGUGAGGGAAAGAUGAAAAGAACUUUGAAAAGAGAGUUAAACAGUACGUGAAAUUGUCAAAAGGGAAGCGUUUGACACCAGUGUUGUUUUUCUGAAAAUCAAUUAAAGAACUGUUUAUGCUAAGUUGUUUAGGACUUCAUCAGCUAACUGUUUAGUUUUGAGCUUUUCUUUAACGCACUUUUCAGUUAACAAGUCAACAUCAAUUUCUUUUGCUGUAAAAAAGCUUGAGGAAGGUGGCUUGAGAUUCGUCUUAAGUGUUUAUAGCCUCUCGCCUAUGCAGUCGGAGAGAUUGAGGUCUGCAGCGUAGAUCCUUCGGGGCUAAAUGCAUUUGUGCUAAGUUAUAGCAUUUUAUAGACAACUUGUUGACUAUGAUUUGUCUUGUAGCUUACUCGCUUAUGUUAUUUUACCUACGCUUAGGAUGUUGAGCGCAUGUCUCUCUCU
rnacentral:rRNA from 1 species